rnacentral:rRNA from 1 species
AACGAACGCUGGCGGCAGGCUUAACACAUGCAAGUCGAACGCCCCGCAAGGGGAGUGGCAGACGGGUGAGUAACGCGUGGGAAUCUACCCAGUUCUACGGAACAACUGAGGGAAACUUCAGCUAAUACCGUAUACGCCCUACGGGGGAAAGAUUUAUCGGAAUUGGAUGAGCCCGCGUUGGAUUAGCUAGUUGGUGAGGUAACGGCUCACCAAGGCGACGAUCCAUAGCUGGUCUGAGAGGGUGAUCAGCCACACUGGGACUGAGACACGGCCCAGACUCCUACGGGAGGCAGCAGUGGGGAAUAUUGGACAAUGGGCGCAAGCCUGAGCCAGCCAUGCCGCGUGAGUGAUGAAGGCCUUAGGGUUGCAAAGCUCUUUCAGUGGGGACGAUAAUGACGGUACCCGGAGAAGAAGCCCCGGCUAACUUCGUGCCAGCAGCCGCAGUAAGAC